rnacentral:lncRNA from 1 species
AGACAGAGACUCAGAGAGAGACAGACAGACAGACAAAGUGAGAGACAGAAAGACAGAUAGAAUAAGACAGAAGCAGCAACUGAGACAGAGACAGACAGACAGACAGACAGACAGACAUUUUAAGAAAAUAAUUCUUUUUUAAAAAAGCCUACAAGAAUAUCACUGAGUUGGUUUAUUUUGACCAUUUAUUCCUGGGCAUAGGGCUUACCAUUAAGUGUGAUUAAUAUACCCAGUGACACUCCAUUCCAUUGGAGAAAACUAAUUUUUUUUCCUUUGCAAGUGGGUAUCAAUUGCAGACAGGCUCUUCAUUGGGAGUGGACCCUUGUCUACUUCCUGUUUGCAGCGCUGGGACCCCCCAUCUGGCUCAAAUCUAUACAUUCUAUUUCUGAUAACUGUUUCCUAGAAUUCCAGCUAAGGGAUUCCCCAUAUCCAUGCAGUAUUUUAAGAAUUCUUCGUUGUAACCCGUGUGAAUAAUAUAUAAUUUAAGGAAUUUAAUGCUGUAGAGUGGAACUGGAAUAUCGAGUGCCUUUACCUCGGGAUUGCAGUAUUCCAGGUUAAAUCCUAUCCUAACUAGCUGCGUAUUCACCGCUGGUCAUCUAUUCGCUGACACAAUGCUUUACUAUCUCUGUAGAAAACUUGUAUUACCCAUUUAAUAUUUCAUAAAAAAUGUGAGGAACAGUAUCACCAGUCUGACUUAUACAAUGCUUAUGUAACGACACUAGUCAGUUAAUCUUGAAGCUUUACAUUUUCUCCAUGCUACCGAGUAGCAAAUGUCUGAACAUGUUGAAUCAAGGUUGGGUUAGAGAAUAGCUAUGCAUUCCUGACACGUAAGGAUGAAUAAGCAACUGAGUAAGGAAGCUUGGGUAAAUCUGAUUUCUCAGUAUUUCUAUGUGGCUUUUGAAUGAUAAAACGAUCUCCACUUUUCUAAAGACAAAGCUUUCUCUUCUACUUUUCACAUUAGCUUCUGUAAAUGUUUUAGUUGAAAAUUUAAUGCUUGUACAGUCCAUGGCAAUUGGAAUAUAUAUUAUAUGUAUAUGGAAAAAGUUUAAAGAUGCUUGUAAUUUAUUUAAUGACUGUUGCCUUUCUAUAUUGGUAAUGACUUUUUUCCUUACUAGGUGAGAAAAACAUCUUUCUUACUAUAGUUCCUAGAUAGGACAGGACAUUUAGUUCCUUAGUCGGGUCCAUUCCAAGGCUGUGGCAGUAACUGUGAAGGGUUCUUCACUACCGAUGUGUUAAGCUUUCCUGAACUUAUAUCAUUCUCCUCCAGUAACAAAGACCUUUCGUCCUAUAUUACAAAAAUAAAAACAGCUCAAU